rnacentral:rRNA from 1 species
UGCGUAGGCGGGCAGAUAAGUCAGAGGUGAAAGCUCACGGCCUAACCGUGGAAUUGCCUUUGAAACUGUUUGUCUUGAAUCAGGUUGAGGUUAGCGGAAUGUGACAUGUAGCGGUGAAAUGCAUAGAUAUGUCAUAGAACACCAAUUGCGUAGGCAGCUGACUGGACCUGUAUUGACGCUGAGGCACGAAAGAGUGGGGAGCGAACAGGAUUAGAUACCCUGGUAGUCC